GAGAAUUGUUUUUGGCUGGGUAACAUUUUUUUUGGCUCAUGUCUGCAACAUUGCUUACACACUUGUCACGGUUUAUGAUGGCUUGAAUCAAAGGAAGAAUGUUUUAUUUUCUAUUUUCGAGCAAGGGUGAUCUUCUUUGCUACUGUUGAAUUUAUUUUAUAUUCAUCACACAAUCAAUAUGCUGAUGGCCGUGAAUGGAUGAGGUUACAUGUUGAUUGAUGGGAGGCAUGUGACAUUUGGUUUUAAUGGUGCAGCCGGUUAUCACAUAGCAUUUUUAUUAAAUUUUCUACUGGAGAUUUCGGUGGGCACAUGUGUUUCACUUUUCAAUUGAAGUUCAUUUUAGAUGUUGUCACGUCUUUGUGCAUUGGGGGCUAAAAAGAAAAGUUGUUUUAGUCUAUUGUUUGCUUGAACUGAGAAACAGACGCUACCUUUAAUUUGGGUUCAUUCACCCUUUUGAUUGAAGUUCUAUUUAAGGGAACACAUGCACACUUGGCUGCAGUGAAGCAAUGAUUUCAUUUUACAAGUUUAGUUUCUUUUCAACUGGUGAUUCGUUUAGGUGAGCACACACACGGGCAUUACUCUUCUUUGAAGCAUCAGGCGCUGAUUCACGUUGCUGGAUGGGACACUUGAGGGCAGUGGAUAAUCAAUGUUGAUGGAAUGGAAGCACGUGAUUUAGGCUGCAGAGGUGUGAUCAAUUAGCUUUGGGAAGUUGUGGUAUGGAGAGAAUGAAUGCCAUUAAUUGGUUAAUUAAAUGAAGUUACGGCUGAAGCAAAUGGCAACCACGGUGGCAACUUGAUGGGAUGUUGGGUGCAGCUGAAAAUAGGCAAGGGUCCCACUGAGUUGGAAGCACAUGGCUAUUUGACAUUUAUUUUUUUUGGAGAGUACAUGAGUAAUGGUUGCAUACGUUACUGCCACGUUUUGUAGAAGAUAAAUAACUUUGAUUUUGAAGCAUUGAAUUGGCUGCAGCAAUCUCGCGACAAAGGUUUAUUCUUUGGGCCAUUUCAAUUUUAAUUUCAUUAGGUGAAAGUACUUGGGCACGUGAGUAAAAAUAUACAUGUUUAUUUCUUUAGCUUUUUAAUUAGUUUGCAUAUUAGGAUUAGUUGUUUUUAAUUGCUUUAAUUUAGUUUUGUAUUUAAUUUAAUUUAACUGUGUUUAGAUAUUUGUUUAGUCUAGUAUUGGGGUUUGCAUUUUCAUUUUUUUUAAUGCUUUCUAUCAUGUUCGAGUUGUGUUUCAUUGCCAUGCAUUUUAAUUUAGUGUAAUUCUCAUAUCAAAUACUUUCAACCCC
rnacentral:lncRNA from 1 species